AGUGAACGCUGGCGGUAGGCCUAACACAUGCAAGUCGAACGGCAGCACAGUAAGAGCUUGCUCUUACGGGUGGCGAGUGGCGGACGGGUGAGGAAUACAUCGGAAUCUACUUUUUCGUGGGGGAUAACGUAGGGAAACUUACGCUAAUACCGCAUACGACCUACGGGUGAAAGCAGGGGAUCUUCGGACCUUGCGCGAUUGAAUGAGCCGAUGUCGGAUUAGCUAGUUGGCGGGGUAAAGGCCCACCAAGGCGACGAUCCGUAGCUGGGCUGAGAGGAUGAUCAGCCAAACUGGAACUGAGACAAGGUCCAGACUCCUACGGGAGGCAGCAGUGGGGAAUAUUGGACAAUGGGCGCAAGCCUGAUCCAGCCAUACCGCGUGGGUGAAGAAGGCCUUCGGGUUGUAAAGCCCUUUUGUUGGGAAAGAAAAGCAGCAGGUUAAUACCCCGCUGUUCUGACGGUACCCAAAGGAUAAGCACCGGCUAACUUCGUG
rnacentral:rRNA from 1 species